rnacentral:sRNA from 1 species
UGCCAUGCUCUUGAAGCCUGGUUUUCCCCAGCUGGGAGCUGGUUUGUUCUGUGCUCCGAAUCUUCUGGGUUCAGGAGGAGGCUCUGUGGCUCCCCUUGGGGCUUGUUCUCCCACUUUCUUUCACCGGUCCUCCUGUGAUGCUUCUUCUGGACAGAUGUGACCUUCAUCCUGGAUGAUGGCACCAUCAGCGCCCACAAGCCCCUGUUGAUUUCCAGCUGUGACUGGAUGGCUGCCAUGUUUGGGGGGCCAUUUGUGGAGAGCUCCACCCGGGAGGUGGUGUUUCCCUACACAAGCAAGAGCUGCAUGCGGGCCGUGCUGGAAUACCUCUACACCGGCAUGUUCACCUCCAGCCCCGACCUGGAUGACAUGAAGCUCAU